rnacentral:rRNA from 1 species
GGUCUUCGGACGCUGACGAGUGGCGAACGGGUGAGUAAUACAUCGGAACGUGCCCAGUCGUGGGGGAUAACUACUCGAAAGAGUAGCUAAUACCGCAUACGAUCUGAGGAUGAAAGCGGGGGACCUUCGGGCCUCGCGCGAUUGGAGCGGCCGAUGGCAGAUUAGGUAGUUGGUGGGAUAAAAGCUUACCAAGCCGACGAUCUGUAGCUGGUCUGAGAGGACGACCAGCCACACUGGGACUGAGACACGGCCCAGACUCCUACGGGAGGCAGCAGUGGGGAAUUUUGGACAAUGGGCGAAAGCCUGAUCCAGCAAUGCCGCGUGCAGGAUGAAGGCCUUCGGGUUGUAAACUGCUUUUGUACGGAACGAAAAAGCUCCUUCUA